CCUCUCUCAGGAUGGCACCUGGAGAGUUUCCAGUACUCUGCUAGUCUCGGCUAUGGGAGAGAGAGUCAAGCAGAGCCAUCCCCAUUCCAUCCCUAGCUUGAGCAGUGGCUAGUGAGCGGAAAGCCAUCUGCUACAAAU